ACAUAUACCCCUGAGUUGGUACACCCUACAACAGAUGUAAAGGGAUCUGAUGGAUCCAUAUUAACUGUCUGCGACUGGGUUAUCCCUGAAUUCGUCAACGCACCUUUCUUGCCAUCUCCAACCCAGACCGAGGAUGUCGCUUCGCCCGAUAUGUCUACCAAUACACUAAAGCGUAAACAUCAUGUUCCUCGUGGGGAAAGACAAGCUAUAUUAGCUCGUCGAAACCAGCAAUUUGAAUCAGCCAUAUCAAGGAAGGUGGGUACUUCGAUUGAGGAUACUAGCGGUGACGCUGUUGAAGGGGACGAUUGGACACAGCGCCAUACGCCUAUGAAGAUCACCAACAAUGGUGAUGACGAUGAGGGUGUCAUAUUUGAAGACGACGAUGAUGAGAACGAGGGAUACCUAUUC
rnacentral:misc_RNA from 1 species